rnacentral:rRNA from 1 species
UACGUAGGGAGCAAGCGUUGUUCGGAUUUACUGGGCGUAAAGGGCGCGUAGGCGGCGCGGUAAGUCACUUGUGAAAUCUCUGAGCUUAACUCAGAACGGCCAAGUGAUACUGCAGUGCUAGAGUGCAGAAGGGGCAAUCGGAAUUCUUGGUGUAGCGGUGAAAUGCGUAGAGAUCGGGAGGAAGGCCGGUGGCGAAGGCGGCGCUCUGGAACAUUUCUGACGCUGAGGCUCGAAAGCGUGGGAGCAAACAGG